UAAUCUCAAUACAUUAGAAACAAAAAAGGAUAUAAUAUUAACCAUAAAAACACGAGGACCAUACGCUUUUCGUAUUUUUAUAAAUAGUCUACGUGAGUCAAACCAAGAAAUUUUUGCAGACAUAUUACAAGAGGUAGUUUAAAUACAAAAAUAUAUACAUAACAAUAUAAAAUACUAUCAAAUCAAUAGAGAGAAAAAGAGAAACAUUUUAACUAAAUCUCUUUUUACAGAGAUACCUAUCAGAAUGAUGGCAGGAAAAAUUCUGAUACUCUUGAUCUUAUACCUGACGUCAAUACAGGCUUUCAUUGGAUUUGAUUGCGGAACUAGUAUGCUUAAUAUAACUACAAUAUCACUUCUGGAAGUAGGAGAUUGCGACAUACCUGAACCUCAGGUACAUACAGAAUCACAAUAUAUUCAAUUAAUACAAAUAGCUGAUUUUACACUAACUAAAGUUAAACAAUGUAAAAUACAAAUAACUAGAACAAUUUCACAUUGUGGAAUGAGUUCUCAUAUUUCCGCAAUGGCCAAUGGAAUAAGCGAAUACAUACAAGAAGUUACUUUUGAACAAUGUAAAGGUUUACACUCAGGAGGCACAAUAAUUUUAGGACAAAGUGCUCAAAUUUCAGGCUUAAAAGUUAAUCAAACAACUUAUCAUAGCAUUUUAAUGGCAGGAUCAUUAGCAUUUGACGGAUCUUGUGACGGAACUCAAUAUUCAGACCCACUUGGAACAUGGAAUAACGUAAUUGUUCAAGCAGUAGUAAAAAUAACAGUAAAAGAAUAUUACGCAUCAGUUAACGUAAACACAAAUAAAAUUCAUCUGAAAUCAGGAGUUACAUGUCUUUUAUCAGACUUAAAUUGUUUUGAUUUAGAAGGUGGACAAACUUUUUUGGAUUCUGUACCCCAAGAUAUUUGUAAACUUAACAAAUACAAAGUAAUAUAUCAAGGAUACGCAAAUAAAACUAAAGAAAUAAACUCAAACAGUUCAGAAAUAUUAUACUCAUUAAAUACUGAUGAUAUAACAUUCGUACUUACUCAAAAAUCACAAACAGCGGUUUGUAGUUAUGGUAUGUAUCAUACAGAACAUCCUAAACUUUUAAUAAUUGAAACAACCCCAGAACGUGCAAUCAUUAAGGAUAGAGAAGUAACAGUUCAAAAUAUGGACCUAUUUACAUAUGUAAAUUCAAAAUUUGUCUAUACUGAAAAACAUAUUCGUACCCAAAUGAAACAAUUAUAUUAUGAUGUCCUAAUACAAAAAUAUGAGCUUGAACAAAAAGUAUUUAAAAAUUCAUUAACAUUAGCAUCUCAAUCCCCAGAUGAAUUCGCAUAUAACUUAAUGAACGGACCAGGCUAUACAUCUGUUAUUGCCGGUGAAGUAGUACAUAUAAUUAAAUGUGUCCCAGUAGAAGUUCAAUACCGUAAAACAGAAGAAUGUUUUCUACAUUUACCCAUUUUUAAAGGGAAUCACUCUAUGUUUCUUACACCUAAGACCCACAUAAUUAUUAGUAAAGGAACACAAACAAAUUGUAAUUCAUUUAUUCCCUUAAUGUAUUUCUUAGGAGAAACAUGGUAUAAAAUAAUACCAAACCCUGUCGAAUCAGUACCCCCCACUAUUAUGAAACCUUCAACACAACAUACGUGGCAUUAUACUAACCCUUCAUCUUUAGCAACAAGCGGAAUUUAUUCUCAAGCAGAUUUAAGUAAAUUACAUAACCACAUAAUGUUUUCGGCGGAAAAACCAAUGGUUUUGAGUAAUUUAGCACGCACUAUAACCGGACAGAUAAUAUUAUCAUAAUUAUGAUUAGAACAAUCAAACUGCUCAUCGACACUAUAAUUCACGGUUACACACUUUAUACUGUAUUUGGAUGGUCUUUUCAAUUACUAGGAUGCAUAUGGGAUUCAGUAACUAAUUUACUUUUACAUUUAGGAAAACCAGAAGUACCACAGAAACCAGAUACACAAUAUACACAACAAAUCAGAGUUCCAGAAGAAGAAGAAGAAGAAAAAGAUCCAACAAAACAAAAACAAGCAUGUCAAACACUACAGAUAAAACAGCAACUAUGUCUACAAUUCCAUGUAUAACAGAAAUAUACAGUAAUGUAUCCUUCAGAGAAUUUGAACCACCCACCGGACAACAAAAUAUCGUAGAACUUUUGCAAUUUUUCGUCUUUGAAUUUGAACUUCCCUUACCAAAAAUUUCUUUGACAAUAGAAAAAAGAAGAAAUUUUUUGCCAUUAUUUAGGGUUUGCAUUUAUUUAUUUAUUUGGAACAUAAAGGGACAUGCCCUUUCGUACAAAAGUACUUCUAAAAAGAUAACUAAUAUAAAAAUUCUAUAUUUUCUAGUUCAACUGUCAAUCCUACUGCAUGUACGGAAUACAAAUAAUUAAUUUACAGGAAUAAAAGGAAAAUUUUUGGUAAAUUAACUCUUAUUUUUACUAAUACUCUUUCAUAACUCUACUUCUAACAUUUCUUUAAAAAAAAAAAUAAAUAAUUAAAAAAUUAAAAAAAUAAAUAAAUAAAUAAUAAUAAUAAUAAAUAAAUUUUUUUUUUUUAAUAAAAACAUGAUAAAAUAAAUAAACACUUACCUAC